UACAUGGAUGAGAAGUGGCUAUCUGCAAAAGAAGAAAAGUAGCAGCAGAAGGCAAGGGACUUUCAGCUCAUCAUCUUUGUGCACCAUCCUUCUAGGAUAAGGAGUGGCAGACUCUCAAUAUGAUAAACAUUAAGAUUCACUGAAUAGUUACUGAUUACAAAAGGCGACUAACUUGACUGGCAGUGGAACACCAGAAUGAACUAAAAUUAUACAAGGACUUAAUUAAUAUAUAUAUUGGAACAUGGAUGAAGCUGGAAACCAUUAUUCUCAGCAAACUAUCACAAGGACAAAAAACCAAACACCGCAUGUUCUCACUCAUAGGUGGGAAUUGAACAACGAGAAUGCAUGGAUACAGAAAGG